CUGGCUAAGUAUCAACGUUAAACGGUGAUCUUAUUAUUAAGUAUUGUAUACACGUUUAUUGUUAGUAUUGUUAUAAAUGAAAACAUAAAAAAAGAUUAAACGCUAAUUUUUACGGGGCCAUUGCGUGUUACUUUCGGACGUAAACAUAUUGUCGAAUAAAAUAAUAACAGUUACUACAACUUUGUAACUGCAACUCUGCAACUCUACGCCGUCGCGAUAUUUUUGAUAAUAUAAAUGUUGAAAUUCUCGAGGACAAUACCAAUUGUAAACAAUGUAAAUGUGAAUUCUGUCAAUUAUUUUAUUUUUUUCUGCAUUAUUAUUCUUACGCGUUAAAUGGGAUUCGACUUCAAAAAAAAAGGUCCACGUCAAUUUCGAAUUUCCACAAUACACAACCCGCGCGUCACUGUGUUGUUCGCAGGUAUAAAACUUCGUUUGUUUUUCAAAUAAUCGACUUUUGCGUAAUUAAAUUUGUUCGCGAUAUUUUGAAUUCGACAACUAUUACGACAACGACAUCAAUUAUUCGUAAUCUGACUCGACGCGGACUCGAAUUUAAACGUAAACAUCGAAAUACUGAAUUUUGAACAAAACCGUCCGCGCCGACAUUUCGACCAUAAGCGCAAAUAGCCCAAGUUUAUUAUAAUUUUUUUUUUUUUUUUUUUGGGGGAAGGAGGAGACUUAUCAUCGCAUAAUAUCGAUUAUGUAUGCAUCGUAUUUAUACUCGGAGAGUGUCUUGGCUAGGUUUCGGGGGGCUGCGUCUAAAGAUCUGGUAAAUUGCCUGUAGUUUUAAACGUCUGUAUCUAAAUACUGCAUUAAACGUUUCGAUUCGUACACCUAAUUCGUAUUUUACAUCGAAUAUUAUAAAUAACAGUUUUAGAUUCUGUUUACCGCUAAUCGGAUUUAAUUAUACAAAAAUAUCAUGAUAUACUUGUUUGGAUUAAGAUUUGAUUAUUUAUUUUUUUUCCAAAACGGCGAUUGAACGUUUGCUUUGUAAUUUCGCGUAUCGAAUACGUUAAUAUAAUAUUACUAAUGUAGCAUAAAACAGGUCAAU